CAAAAAUAAUUAAGAAAUGGAAUGUUCUGAUUGAAAAUUACCAAGCAUAUGAUGUAUGGAUGAUCAACUUUUGAAGAAUUUGAAACAAUUAGAAAUUAGAAAACAGAAGCCCACAUCCUUUGAAACCCAUAGUGCAGGUGAGCCCAGUGUAAAGACAAGGAUUCUUAAAUGAGGAAGAGGGAGGCAGACAAUCUGAACCAGAGAGAUGGCAUCUGAAAAAGACUCCGUCAGCCUUUGCUGGCUUUGAAGAUGAAAAGGAGCCAUGAGCCAAGGAAUUCAGGCAGCCUCUAGAAGCCAGCAAAUGCGAGGAAAUGGAUUCUCCCCUAGAGCCUCCAGAAAGGAAUUCUGUUCAGCCAACACCUUGAUUUUAGCCCAGUGAGACCCAUUUUGGACUUCUGCCCUCCUCUGGAACUGUAAAAUAAUAAAUUUGUGUUGUUUUAAA
ensembl:lncRNA novel transcript